UCUUGCACUCCCAACCGCAUCCUUUUGCCUUACAUCCCCAGACCUUAGGAUUCUUUGUAUCUUCCAUUUAAAUGUUUUCUGUCAGAAGUCCAGAAGACCAAGGCACCAAAGAACCUCAGACACACUCGGACACUGAGGCAUUUCUAAACAUCUAUACGGUGAGCAUGAAGAGACAUUUAUAAUGGAGGUUUCUAGGCAUCUUACAGAAGUCACAACAGACCAAUCUAGACUUUGAAAGAGCAGACUAGAAUUACAAACUUAGGUUUUAGAAGACUUUUCCGGAUUCCAAAUCGGGGUUAUAGAGUAAAACUGGACAAAUGGGUUACGACGUCACACUAAAAAGCUGCCUUCUACACAGCGAAAGAAACAGUCAGUGGAGUAGAAAGACAACAUGUAGGAGGGGGAAUACAUCUGCAAAGCCCAAAUGAGGGAGGGGCUGAUCUCCGAAAUGCGUAAGAGUGGACAUGCCUUCUAGGAAGGGAGCUGUGUGAGGAGAGUUCUGAGAGCUGGUGAGAAGACUCCAGGAAAACAAGACAAGAGUUCUAUGACCUCAGUUUCUUCAAAACAUGGACUUGUUCUUGGAAUAUGCUUUUGUGUUCCUCCCGGUUGUAACGGGUAGGAGUGAGUUUACUUCAGAUGACUCACUGUCGCUGGCUGCUGUUAUUCAAUUAACUGUUCACACUUUCCUUUCUACGCUUCUACGGAAGAACUUGUCUUGCCGUGUAUGGCCUGUUCCUGUGACUGUACGGAGCUUGAACUCAUAAGAACUUCACUCAUGUGAUUCUCCUUAACCCUCAGAAUAGAACCUGUCUGAGGCUCUGGAUAAGCUUGGCUAUUGCAUUUAUUAUUUAUGUAGUCCACCACAUUUUUAGGCUCCAUUUCCCCAUGUCCCACUGCCUUUAGAGUGGUAAACAAGGGGUGUCACAAAUCAGGGACCUGCGGUCAGCGAUGAGACAAGAGAGUGGGGCCCUCACAGAAGGAAAUAAGCAAGCUGAUGCAUUAACCUGCCCUAUUUCUACUUCUCCAGAAGAAAACUGGGGAGGGUUAUACAUCUGUCAUUGCAGAUGGAUCACUGAGACAUUUGGGAUUCCUCUCUGGCUCCUCCAGCCCCGGGCCAUCAAGGACAAUGGCAGAAGGUGAGGAGACAGUGGAAGUCACCAGAAAGAUAGCAAACCUCCAGCUAAAGGGCAAAACAAGAAAUCAACCAUCUCAUCAGAAGCCAAGUCUGCCCAUCUGGGGUCAAGUUAAGGCCCUAUAUGCAUCAAGGAAGAAGUAAACACACAGAGCCCUUGUCACCUGAGAAUCUCUUUCUGGCAAUGCUAGCUGCUUGGACCUGUGCAUCUGUGGUGAGUACCUCUGAGCACAUGUACUGGUCAUAUGUUCCUCAUCUUCCACUGACCUGUGCAUCUGCAGUGAAUGCUGCCUGAGCAUGUGUAUUGGUCUUAAGUUCCUCAUCCUCCUUUGCUUCAACUUAUAGACUAGAUGGAUCCAGCUCCUGUUAUCUUUACUAAUGACUCUGUGUUUAUGACUGGACCUUGGGACUGUAACAGACUCAUUUAUUCAUCUGAAGAAGGCAAUGUAUUUUAUUUUUCCUUGGGAUUGAAAUCAUUUAUUUGCAUAGGACAUCAUAAUAUUUGUGUUCCUAUUAAAGGCAAACAUGGACUUACAUUCUACAAGAUAUCAGAACUACAUAUGGGUCUCUUUUCAAGAUAUUCUCUAGAUUUUUCCAGUCAGUAUAAUGAUGUGAUCAAUAAAACUGGACAUAGUUUGAAUCCCUGUUCUUGGUGGCAGAGUAUUACACACAAUGUUUUCACUGACCUAAUGUUUAUAAUGUGCUUGCUUAUAGGAUACUCAUGCAUCAAAUGACAGAUUUAUCUACAUCAUCUCAAGUCAAAACUGCUCUGGAAUCCUGUUUUAAAAAGGGGGGUGGGGAGUGUUGGAACACGGUCCAGGAAUCUCCAGAGCCAUGUGAGGAGAAUUCUGAGUUCUCGUGAGAACACUCCAAGGAAACAAGACAAAAGUCUUGUGACCUCAGUUUCUUCAAAACACAGAGUUGCUCUUGGAAUGUGUGCUCCUCUCAGGUGUAGCGGAUAGGAGUGAGUUUACUUCAGACUACUUGCUGCUGUUACUCAAUUAACUGUUUACACUAUCCUUUAGAGGCCUCUAGGGAAAAACGUGUUUUUGCCAUGUGUGGCCUGUCCUUGUGAUUACAUACAGCUUGAACUUAUGAGCACUUAGUCAUGUGAUUCUCCUUGACCCCAGGAGUAUAAAUUGUCUGAUGCUCUGAAUAAAGUUGGUUAUGGUA